UGGGGCGUAGCCAAGUUGGUAAGGCACCAGAUUUUGGAUCUGGCUAUCGUUGGUUCGAGUCCAGCCGCCCCAGCCA
rnacentral:tRNA from 1 species